UACGGGGGGGGCAAGCGUUGCUCGGAAUUACUGGGCGUAAAGGGCGCGUAGGCGGCCUACUAAGUCGGACGUGAAAUCCCUCGGCUCAACCGAGGAACUGCGUCCGAUACUGGUGGGCUUGAAUUCGGGAGAGGGAUGCAGAAUUCCAGGUGUAGCGGUGAAAUGCGUAGAUAUCUGGAGGAAUACCGGUGGCGAAGGCGGCAUCCUGGACCGACAUUGACGCUGAACGGCGAAAGCUAGGGGAGCAAACGGG
rnacentral:rRNA from 1 species